GAUGCUGACAGCAGCCAAAAGGGAUUUGGCACAGCUCAGGAGAAGUACCCAGGUGACAGCCUCCUCUACCAGUGAGCUGAGAUCAGCUUGGUCUGCACCACCCACCAGCAGACUCAACAGCAUGAGGACAGCGAGCCCCUUCCUGUCUUGGGAUUCAUCUGGACUGGAAAGGGAGACAUCAAGUUUUACACCCAAAACAUCGUAGUGGGCGUACAGGUGGCUCUCUGAAUGCAAGUUCAACCAGCAAACCUCCAUGGCUGGAUGCACGCUUACAAGGAAGCACUGAGCUGACAGAAAUGUGUCUUUCCAUCCUGGAUGCAGAGCAGUUUAGAGCUCAAAACACUGCAGAUGUGGUGAUCCUGGUUCUCCUUUAGGACUUUCUUGGAUUGCGCUCAUGACCAGAAAGAUGUGCAAAGCAGAUAUAAAGGUACUUCAUGCACAACCCCAAGGCAAUGCCAGGAGCCUUAGCACAGCUGGAGCAGCCAACAAACCCAGGAAAAAAUGCACCUACGCGAUUUUAACGUGACUUGCCUCGACUUCAGGUCAACUAAGCAGUACAUCUGGAUGACACAACACAUUGCUCUUGAGAGCCCAAACAAAGCUCUUGUGUUGUUGCUGCACUUUGGACUGAGUGUUAUUCAGGCUCGAUGACCAACUGGUGGUGCUAAUGCUUCGUUGGAUGGGAGGUGAAGGAAGGUUCAUUACCCCUCACUAAAUAUGUACAUGCAUUACACAAACCCUCUGCAAAUUACAAAGCAGCUUUCACCAACCUUGCAAUUAAAGGAUUCAGCUUGAUUUUUAACAGACGCUUGCAGGAAGCAGUUACACACAUGUAUUCCAAAAUUUCAUAUGGCAGCACUUUAAUCACGAUGGUUUCAAGGGACAGGCACUUGCUGAGGACACUUGACCUUUGGUCUUUAGUCCUUACAUCAAGGUUUUGUGUGUCCUCUUGUAUCUGUGAUAGGAUGUUUAUUGCCUGGGAGGAAGGUUAGAUACUCAUGCAGUUACACAGAGGGCUGUGAAGCAGUAAAACAUCAAGCUGGGGGACGGCUAGCCACGCUCAGAGCAACCCGUGUAGCUGAUCAGUCGUGGUCUAAGCCUCAGUGAGCAGGAAGGCUCUGGAGCAUGGUGUUGUUCUGUGUUUCAAGCAGUGUGGUCAUUUACUGCCUCUGACCUAAGCUCCAAAAAGAAGAGCGUGAGAAAACAAAAAAAAACAACUGGUGCUCUCAUUUAUUUCAAUGAGUGAGUCAAGGUACAAUUCUUUGUAUUUGGUGGAGCCGUUUGCUGUUCUAGAGGUUUUUACCUAGUGGCAUUUUGCAACUCUGUCCCCUAGGUGUUGCACUGAGAGCCACCUGUAACAAAAAGGUCAGUGACAAGUUUGCAAGGGGCUGUCUGUUGCCUGGAGAGGGGAGGGGAGGAAUAGAAUAAUUUUCUUUUGCAGCACACAGACUGCGAGAAGAAAACCCCUUUUCACACCAGCCCUGACCUGUGAGGAUGUUUCCCUGGCAGGGCUGCACAGGAGGCAUGCAGAGCAACAGCGAGGAACGGAGCAGGGACCAGUGGUGUGAUAUGGUGGUGGAUGGUUUGUGACAUCCAGGUGAUGACAGCCACCAUAGUGUCGCAUUGCCACCAAGUCUAUUUAUUCCCUGAAAUCAUCUUCCUCAGGUAGCUGCUGUGCUGCUGUUGAGAUGCUGGAGCAGCAAGGUACCUCUGGGCCAACAGGAAUGGCAGGCAAGAGGUACCACUCUGCACCCACCCCCAGCACCACGGGAAGGGGUAUAGUUCCUGAUUUCCUCUGGGCUGAAGCAUCUGUGGUGCUACAUUGACAUCUACCACCCACUGUCCUGCAAAAACAUCUUGGGAACUGCUGCAUUCAGAUGCUACAUGUUGGCCAUUUUCUAGGUACACACACACACAAAGAAAACAGGACAGAUCCCAAAUAUGGGACUCCUCCAAGUUCAAAGUCACAUAGAUCUCCCUUUCCUCCUCUUGCACCCUGCAGCCUGCCCUCUGCCCCCAAAUCCAGGGUGUUGUCCUGGGGGGGAGUUGGCUGAAGGCAAGAGGUAGCUGAGCUUCAGCUGUCAUUCACUGACCAGCGCAUCAGAUUCAAUUUUCAGUGGAAGAAACAAAUCUCCUUCCUCUCCUUUCUUCCAAAGUGGGUCCAGGGACAUGCAGGGGUUUUCAGGCCCUGUUUCUCCUUUUUUCUUCCAUUCCUAAUGAUUUGUUUUUCCUACUCCAAAUCUCUUCCUGGUAGUUUUCCAAGUUUCCUUUUCUUGGAUAGUGUCACCUCUCCUUUCUUCCCCAUGCACAUUCCUUUCCAGGGGCAGCCCUAGCAGCACACUUUGCUUCGACUGAUCAUGGGCAAGACAUGAGCUCUGCUGCUGGUUUUCUUUUUCUGUCUCAUCUUGCUUCUUUCCCAUAGUCAGGCAUAUUAACAUUUGUAUGGGGCUGCUGAAUCAAGGCCUGAACCUCUGAUUGAUCACC